rnacentral:rRNA from 1 species
CCUACGGGAGACAGCAGUGAGGAAUAUUGGUCAAUGGACGAGAGUCUGAACCAGCCAAGUAGCGUGAAGGAUGACUGCCCUAUGGGUUGUAAACUUCUUUUAUAUGGGAAUAAACUGUUCCACGUGUGGGAUUUUGUAUGUACCAUAUGAAUAAGGAUCGGCUAACUCCGUGCCAGCAGCCGCGGUAAUACGGAGGAUCCGAGCGUUAUCCGGAUUUAUUGGGUUUAAAGGGAGCGUAGGUGGAUUGUUAAGUCAGUUGUGAAAGUUUGCGGCUCAACCGUAAAAUUGCAGUUGAAACUGGCAGUCUGGAGUACAGUAGAGGUGGGCGGAAUUCGUGGUGUAGCGGUGAAAUGCUUAGAUAUCACGAAGAACUACGAUUGCGAAGGCAGCUCACUGGACUGCAACUGACACUGAGGCGCGAAAGUGUGGGUAUCAAACAGGAUUAGAUACCCCUGUAGUC